UUGCAUAGCGCCCACGGAAUCCGUAUCU
rnacentral:sRNA from 1 species